AUCGAACGCUGGCGGCAGGCCUAACACAUGCAAGUCGAACGAGUGGCGGACGGGUGAGUAAUGUCUGGGAAACUGCCUGUUGGCGGGGGAUAACUACUGGAAACGGUAGCUAAUACCGCAUACUAUCAGAUGUGCCCAGAUGGGAUUAGCUAGUUGGGGGGGUAACGGCUCACCAAGGCGACGAUCCCUGGCUGGUCUGAGAGGAUGACCGGCCACACUGGAACGGAGACACGGUCCGGACUCCUACGGGAGGCAGCGGUGGGGAAUAUUGCACAAUGGGCGCAAGCCGGAUGCAGCCAUGCCGCGUGUAUGAAGAAGGCCUUCGGGUUGUAAAGUACUUUCAGCGGGAAGGCGUUACCCGCAGAAGAAGCACCGGCUAACUCCGUGCCAGCCGCCGCGGUAAUUC
rnacentral:rRNA from 1 species